UAGCCGCUUGGGUUUUAGUUAACUCCG
rnacentral:piRNA from 1 species